UUGGAGGGCAGUCUGGUGCCAGCAGCCGCGGUAAUUCUAGCUCCAAUAGCGUAUAUUAAAGUUGUUGCAGUUAAAAAGCUCGUAGUUGAAUUUCGGGGUCAGUAGGUCGGUCGUGCCACUGGUAUGAACUGGUUUUACUGAUUCCUCCCUCUUGAAGAACUGUAAUGCCAUUAAUUUGGUGUUGCAGGGAAUCAGGACUGUUACUUUGAAAAAAUUAGAGUGUUUAAAGCAGGUUUUAGCUUGAAUACAUUAGCAUGGAAUAAUGAAAUAGGACGUUUGAUCCUAUUUUGUUGGUUUCUAGGAUUGACGUAAUGAUUAAUAGGGAUAGUUGGGGGCAUUAGUAUUCAAUUGUCAGAGGUGAAAUUCUUGGAUUUAUUGAAGACUAACUACUGCGAAAGCAUUUGCCAAGGAUGUUUUCAUUAAUCAAGAACGAAAGUUAGGGGAUCGAAGACGAUCAGAUACCGUCGUAGUCUUAACCAUAAACUAUGCCGACUAGGGAUCGGAUGAUGUUAAUUUUUUAAUGACUCAUUCGGCGCCUUACGGGAAAC
rnacentral:rRNA from 1 species